GCCGGGCGCGGUGGUGCAUGCCUGUAAUCCCAGGGACUUGGGAGGCUGAGGCAGGAGGAUCAGGAGGAUCGAAAGUUCAAAGUCAGCCUCAGCAACUUAGCGAGACCCUAAGCAACUUGGCAAGAUCCUGUCUCAG
rnacentral:sRNA from 1 species